AUUGAACGCUGGCGGCAGGCUUAACACAUGCAAGUCGAGCGGGGGAAGGUAGCUUGCUACCGGACCUAGCGGCGGACGGGUGAGUAAUGCUUAGGAAUCUGCCUAUUAGUGGGGGACAACACCUCGAAAGGGAUGCUAAUACCGCAUACGUCCUACGGGAGAAAGCAGGGGAUCUUCGGACCUUGCGCUAAUAGAUGAGCCUAAGUCGGAUUAGCUAGUUGGUGGGGUAAAGGCCUACCAAGGCGACGAUCCGUAGCGGGUCUGAGAGGAUGAACCGCCACACUGGGACAGAGACACGGCCCAGACUACUACGGGAGGCAGCAGUGGGGAAUAUUGGACAAUGGGGGGAACCCGGAUCCAGCCAUGCCGCGUGUGUGAAGAAGGCCUUAUGGUUGUAAAGCACUUUAAGCGAGGAGGAGGCUACUUUAGUUAAUACCUAGAGAUAGUGGACGUUACUCGCAGAAUAAGCACCGGCUAACUCUGUGCCAGCCGCCGCGGUAA
rnacentral:rRNA from 1 species